GAUGAACGCUGACAGAAUGCUUAGCACAUGCAAGUCUACUUGAACUUCGGUUUGGGUGGCGGACGGGUGAGUAACGCGUAAAGAACUUGCCUCACAGUUAGGGACAACAUUUGGAAACGAAUGCUAAUACCUGAUAUUAUGAUUUUAGGGCAUCCUAGGAUUAUGAAAGCUAUAUGUGCUGUGAGAGAGCUUUGCGUCCCAUUAGCUAGUUGGAGAGGUAACGGCUCACCAAGGCGAUGAUGGGUAGCCGGCCUGAGAGGGUGAACGGCCACAAGGGGACUGAGACACGGCCCUUACUCCUACGGGAGGCAGCAGUGGGGAAUAUUGGACAAUGGACCAAAAGUCUGAUCCAGCAAUUCUGUGUGCACGAUGACGUUUUUCGGAAUGUAAAGUGCUUUCAGUUGGGAAGAAAAAAAUGACGGUACCAACAGAAGAAGUGACGGCUAAAUACGUG
rnacentral:rRNA from 1 species